rfam:Macleaya cordata isolate BLH2017 scaffold6195, whole genome shotgun sequence.
GAAAAUGAUGAUUUGUUUUUGUCGCCCCAGUCUUACAUGCAUCUCUUGAUGCAAGAUGGUGAUUGACAUCAGUUAUCUUAUCUGAUUC